rnacentral:rRNA from 1 species
CCUACGGGUGGCUGCAGUGAGGAAUAUUGGUCAAUGGACGAGAGUCUGAACCAGCCAAGUAGCGUGAAGGAUGACUGCCCUAUGGGUUGUAAACUUCUUUUAUAUGGGAAUAAAAUGUUCCAAGUGUGGGAUUUUGUAUGUACCAUAUGAAUAAGGAUCGGCUAACUCCGUGACAGCAGCCGCGGUAAUACGGAGGUUCCGAGCGUUAUCCGGAUUGAUGGGGUGUAAAGGGAGCGUAGGUGGAUUGUUAAGUCAGUAGUGAAAGUUUGCGGCUCAACCGUAAAAUUGCUGUUGAAACUGGCAGUCUUGAGUACUGUAGAGGUGGGUGGAAGUCGUGGUGUAGCGGUGAAAUGCGUAGAUAUCAGGAAGAACACCAGUGGCGAAGGCGGUUCACUGGACUGUAACUGACGUUGAGGCUCGAAAGUGUGGGGAGCAAACAGGAUUAGAUACCCGGGUAGUC